rnacentral:rRNA from 1 species
AUAUCUUUUUAUCUAGMAUACUAAAGAAAAAUCCUUUAMUGYUAUAGUAAAUUAGUACUGUGAAGGAAUUGANNNNNNNNNNNNNNNNNNNNNNNNNNNNNNNNUUUAAGUAUGAUUUAUUUUCAGUACCUUUUGUAUCAGGGUUAAUCUAAUAUAUAUAUUUAUUUUUGUUUCUCGAUUUCAGAAGAGCUAAUUUUUUAUUUUGUUUAAUGUAAUAUAAUUAUCAAUAAUAUAAAUUAGAAAAGAUAUUUUAUUCGGUUUUGAAGGUAUCUAGUUUUUUAAGAGAAAAAUUUAAUUUACCUUUUUUACUUAAUUUGUUUAUUUUGGAAUAGAUUAUAUAAUAAAUGUGUAAAUUAUAGGGGAUAAGCUCUAUAUUUUUCUAUAAAAAGUUCUUUAUAAUAAAUUAGAGUAGGUUUAAAAAUAUCCAUCUUUAUAGAGUAUGUUAUAAUUUAUAUUUAUAAUUAUUUGAUNNNNNNNUUUUUUUUUAGUAGWUUAUUAAAAUACUAAAAUUAAUUUAAUAUUUUUGGGAAUAAUGAUUAAAUUAGUAUAAUAUUUUGUUUAUGGUUUUAAUGAUUYUAUAAUAAAUUAAGGAACUCGGCAAAUUUAGUUCUCGCCUGUUUAACAAAAACAUGUCCUUUUGGUUUUAUUUUAAGGUCUGGCCUGCCCAGUGAAUAUUUAACGGCCGCGGUAUAUUGACCGUGCAAAGGUAGCAUAAUCAUUAGUCUCUUAAUAGGAGGCUGGAAUGAAAGGUUUAACGAGGAACUGACUGUCUCAAUUUAUUUGUAUUAAAAUUUAAUUUUUUGGUUAAAAAGCUAAAAUUUUAUUGGAAGACGAGAAGACCCUAUAGAUCUUUAUAUAGUUUUGUUUAAAUGAUUUUAUAUUAAUGCAUUUAAUUUUUGCUGUAUUUUGUUGGGGUGACAAAAAUAUAAGAUUAACUUUUUUAUUUAAUUAACAUUGAUUUAUGAUUAUUAGAUCCAUUAUUAUUGAUUGUUAGAUUAAGUUACCUUAGGGAUAACAGCGUAAUCCUCUUCCAGAGUUCAUAUUUACAAGAGGGCUUGCGACCUCGAUGUUGGAUUAAGAUAAUAAUUAGGUGUAGCUGCUUAAUUUAUAGGUCUGUUCGACCUUUAAAUUCUUACAU